GUCCAACUUGACACACAACUUGAAUCCAACCAGACUGAACACUGACUCCAGGGACAGACGAGCCUGAAGGACACAGCUGUGAUGACCAUGUUCUGUCUCUUAUGGCAAAGCAGAAAUAUAAAACACUGGGUUCUUAUCUAAAGUGUAUCAAAUCAGAUCUCCACCAUGUUGCUGCUGAGGACAUCAGGUGCUGCAGUUCUUCAUCUAUGAAGAGAAAAAACGCACUGUUAAAGAAUGUUUUGUGUUGUGUAUAAAGCACAACAGAUUUCAGAUAGAACUGUUGUACUGUGGUCUUGGUUUAUAUCCUCAUGGUGAAAUGUACAUAUUUUAAGUCCCUUCUGAUAAAAGUGCUGAAAGAAAUACAACAUUGUACAAAUACAUAAAAUGUCUUUCUACCUCAUCAGUACUAUUCAAGGUGAUAAUCUCCCACAGACCUAUUGAUAACAGUCCAAAUCAAGUCUUUCCACUUCUCUCAGUGUGAAAACAUAAUUCUAUAAUUAAUUUGAGAACUGUUUACAACACUGAUGUGUGGAGAUUAAAAUCAUACCUAAACUGUCUAA